CCAAUAGCGUAUAUUAAAGUUGUUGCAGUUAAAAAGCUCGUAGUUGAACUUCAGGCCUGGCUGGACGGUCCGCCCUCUGGGUGAGUACUGUCUGUGGUCGGGUCCUACCUUCUGGCGAAGCGUCAUGGUCUUCAUCGGCUGUGGCGGGGAACCAGGACUUUUACUGUGAAAAAAUUAGAGUGUUCAAAGCAGGCCGUCGCUUGAAUACCUUAGCAUGGAAUAAUGGAAUAGGACAAUGGUUCUAUUUGUUGGUUUCUAGGACCGUUGUAAUGAUUAAUAGGGAUAGUUGGGGGCAUUAGUAUUCAAUUGUCAGAGGUGAAAUUCUUGGAUUUAUUGAAGACUAACUACUGCGAAAGCGUUUGCCAAGGGUGUUUUCAUUAAUCAAGAACGAAAGUUAGGGGAUCGAAGACGAUCAGAUACCGUCGUAGUCUUAACCAUAAACUAUGCCGACUAGGAAUCGGGCGAUGUUGACAAAAUGACGCGCUCGGCACCUCAUG
rnacentral:rRNA from 1 species